rnacentral:rRNA from 1 species
AUUGAACGCUGGCGGCAUGCCUUACACAUGCAAGUCGAACGGCAGCGGGGGAGAAGCUUGCUUUUCCUGCCGGCGAGUGGCGAACGGGUGAGUAAUACAUCGGAACGUGCCCUGUAGUGGGGGAUAACUAGUCGAAAGAUUAGCUAAUACCGCAUACGACCUGAGGGUGAAAGUGGGGGACCGCAAGGCCUCAUGCUAUAGGAGCGGCCGAUGUCUGAUUAGCUAGUUGGUGGGGUAAAGGCCUACCAAGGCGACGAUCAGUAGCUGGUCUGAGAGGACGAUCAGCCACACUGGGACUGAGACACGGCGCAGACUACUACGGGAGGCAGCAGUGGGGAAUUUUGGACAAUGGGCGAAAGCCUGAUCCAGCAAUGCCGCGUGUGUGAAGAAGGCCUUCGGGUUGUAAAGCACUUUUGUCCGGAAAGAAAUGGCUCUGGUUAAUACCUGGGGUCGAUGACGGUACCGGAAGAAUAAGGGCCGGCUAACUACGUGCCAGCCGCCGCGGUAACAC